ACCGUUCUGGAGCAUUCGAACGAAAGAGAAGCCAUGGAAGAAUCCCGCGACGAGCCAGAGGCAAGUCAGAGAGAUUCUAGAAAAUGUCACAGCUUCACUUCGCCUUCCCUCUCCCUCUGCACCGCCCUCUUCUCCGGAAUCUCACUCCCAAGCUCCACCUCCGCAGGCCCACCAUGUCCUUCUCUUCCUCUUCCUCUUCCCCUUCGCCUUCGACCUCAACGACCGACCUCAAGGACGAUCCUCAAGGCCUCUCGCAGGUCCUCAAGUACCACGACCAGACCAAGCACUCCUUCGCCAACUACGCGAGAGGCCCUCGCGGCCUCGACUGGGCGAACCAGCCCAACCCAUUUCGCCGCUACGUCUCCGCCCCUCUCCUCCCUCUCCUCCACCUCACCGCCGACGACCGAGCCCAGGGCGGCCCGUCGUCGGUUCUCGACGCCCCUCCGUACUCCGCCCUGUUCCAUUCGCUUCCUCCUCCAGAACCCAUCUCCAAGGCCACCGUCUCUCGGCUGUUCUACGACUCUCUCGCUCUCUCCGCCUGGAAGACCGCGGGAUUCUCCACUUGGUCGCUCCGGGUUAACCCCAGCAGCGGCAAUUUGCACCCGACCGAAGCUUACUUGAUCGCCCCGGCCAUCGACUCGCUGUCUGAUUCGGGUUUCGUCGCGCACUAUGCGCCCAAGGAGCAUUCCCUGGAGGUAAGAGCCGCUUUGCCGUCCGGGUUCUUGCCGAAGUUCUUCCCCGAGAAUUCUUUCCUUGUCUGUCUGAGUUCCAUCUUUUGGCGUGAGGCUUGGAAGUAUGGAGAGCGAGCCUUUAGGUAUUGUAACCAUGAUGUGGGCCACGCUAUUGCUGCGGUUGCGAUGGCGGCUGCGGGGCUCGGGUGGGACGUGAAGCUUCUCGAUGGGUUGAGUCAUGAGGAUGUGAAGGGGCUGAUUGGACUUCAUGUUUUCCCCGAAUUCAAAAUCCCAUCUAGGCCUGUUAAAGGAAAGAUGGUAGAAAUUGAAUUUGAGCAUCCGGAUUGUGUAUUGGUUGUUUUUCCUAGCGGAAUUGGUGAAUUCAAUGUGAAUUAUAGGGAAUUGAGCUUGGCUUUGUUGGAGUUUCCGAGAUUGGAAUGGAAGGGGAAGCCUAAUGUGCUUAGCAAGGAGCAUGUUUGUUGGGAUAUUAUAUAUAGAACAGCUGAGGCUGCGAAGAAGCCCUUGACGGCAGGGGAUAGAUUUUCCAUCGACCCAUUUUGUGAGAGUGAGAGUCAUAGCGAAAAUUCGUACAAGGGAUUUAGUGCUAGGGAAGUUGUAAGGAAGCGUAGAAGCGCAGUGGACAUGGAUGGAGUGACUGCAAUGGAUAGAGCCACAUUUUAUCAGAUACUGUUGCAUUGUGUUCCUUCGGGUUCUGGGAAUGGAGGAAAGCAGCGAAAACAGCUGGCAUUGCCAUAUCGAGCUCUUUCAUGGGAUGCUGAGGUGCAUGCUGCCUUGUUUGUUCACAGAGUGAUCGGGUUACCGAAGGGUUUGUAUUUCUUGGUGAGGAAUGAGGAUCAUUUUGUGAAGAUCAAGAAAGCUACGAGGCCUGACUUUGAGUGGGUGAGACCAGAGGGAUGCCCUCCUAGUCUUCCUUUGUAUCUACUUGCAAGAGGUGACUGUCAGCAGCUAGCAAAGCAGCUAUCAUGCCAUCAGGAUAUUGCCGGCGAUGGCUGCUUCAGCCUUGGAAUGGUGGCUCAUUUGGAGCCUGUGUUGUGUGAGAAGGGCCCUUGGAUGUAUCCUCGGUUGUUCUGGGAAACUGGAGUGCUUGGCCAGGUUUUGUACCUGGAAGCGCAUGCUGUUGGUAUAUCUGCAACUGGAAUCGGCUGCUUCUUUGAUGAUCCAGUGCACGAACUUCUUGGUCUUAAAGGGUCGAACUUCCAAAGCUUGUACCAUUUCACAGUGGGAGGCCCAGUUCUUGACAAGAGAAUAAUGAGCUUACCAGCCUAUCCUGGACCCAAGAUAGAUGCAUAAUUGUGUCUGUGUGAAUUCUCAACAAGAUUUCAAGGAUCCAUCAGGAUGAGUUUUAUCGAUGUUCAAGUCUCAUUUCUGUGAUCCAAUGAGUUAUGGAACCCGAAGAGAGAAACAGUAUAUAGACUAAAGAAUGCUCGGAGCUAGCACAGGUGGGGACUUGAACCCUGGCAACAGAACAAGACUCGUGGUGGCUCUCAGAAACAUUAUAGAUCAAGAGGAUUGAAAAAGGAGGAGGAGGAAAUAAAGCUCGGAGCCAACGUUUUGUGACUUGCUGGAUGCUUUCCUGCGUCCCUGUGUCGAAAUGAACUGGACACUGGAAUUGGAGUAGCCUCUUCUUGAGAAAUUUUUAUUAUAGGGUCGUCAGGUCGAGUUGUAUCAGUCUUUGGUAAGAGACCAUGAGUUGCAUCAAACUUUCUUGGUGUUGCUACACGAGUAUGCAGAUUCCUUGUAUAGUCCUGAAACACAAUAAUCUGUUUUGACUGGAACAUGUCACACGUGAUAAUGCUGGACUCAACAUUCUUUGAGGCCAUGGUCGAUUCGUUUUUCUAGAAACUGUAAUGUACAUCUGUCUUGGUCUAUUUGUUUAUUGCAACCAACUACAAUGUGCCAAUGUGGAUCUGUAUAAUGAGCUUUUUCCUG